GAAGCGGGCCAGACCGCCGCUGGUGCAAGGCUCGAAAGGGCGCACUGGAGGAAGGUCCGGACUGCACAGGGCGGCGUAGCAGCUAACGGCUGUCCACCGCGAGGUGAGGAUCAGAGCAACAGAGACGAGUCGGCCGGCGUGCGCAAGUGCGGCGGCCGGGUGAAACGGGCAAUCUCUACGCGCAGCAACACCAAAUAGGCCAGCGAUGAUGUGGCUCCGCGGAGCUGGCGGGUAGGUGGCAUCGAGCCGUGCAGUGAUGCACGGCCCAGAGGAAUGGCGGUCACGCGCGUUGUCCCGCAAGGGCGGCGCGCGCACAGAAUCCGGCCUAUCGGCUCGCUUCACAC
rnacentral:RNase_P_RNA from 2 species